UGGCACCGCGCUGGGGCUGCCCCUCCUGGCGGCACCGCGGUGGCACCGCGCUGGGGCUGCCCCUCCUGGCGGCACCGCGGUGGCACCGCGCUGGGGCUGCCCCUCCUGGCGGCACCGCGGGGGCACCGCGCUGGGGCUGCCCCUCCUGGUGGCACCGCGAGGGCACCGCGGGCGCGCUGCUGGAGCAGCAGCGCACCCGUUCCGAAACACCUUCUGUUGUUGAUGGUUUGUUGGUUUCUCUCCGUUCGGAUUCCCAGCCCACUCCCAGCCCCCCCGCCACCACUCCGGGGGAAAUGCUGUCUUUCAUUCCUACUGGAUUGAUCACUGAUUUUAAAAAUAUUGUUAUUUAAAGAAAAAAGCCUGAGAGAAUAUAACCGGUUCUGUCCUAGGAGAUAAAACAAAGUGUUCGUGAAGCAACAGAGACAAAUAUUUUCAAGCAAUAAUUGAAGUCAAUAUCCCUCUUGCCUCUGAGAACAUACAGCCCUUUUUGUGGUUUGUUUUUUUUUUUUUUUUUUUUUUUUUUAAGAGGUUUUGUAAUGUACUUUUCUGACCUGUAUGGAUAGUCAAGAUCUAUGGUCCUUUAGGGUAUUUUUCUCUCCAAGAUGAGAAUGGAUGAUAGAAUUCAAUAUUUCUUUGAUAUAAUAUUGGCAGAAAAUUUGCAAAGCCUCAUUUGCCCAAACACCGUAGAAUAUGAACAGAAGAGGGCUUGUUUGUUUGUCUGUUUUCUGCUUUUUCAAUUCUGUUUCUUACUAGUAGUAUUCUGUUUGAAAAUCGGUUUACUUUUUUUUCCCUAGGCAGGUUACUCUAGCCACUUUGUCUGUUCUUUUCUGAAUGCUCUUGAAGGCUGUUCCCCAGCAAAAUCAUUCCAGUCAUUCAGCUUUUCCCUCUGCCUUACAAUUCGUUUGGGUAUUUGCAUCUGCUUUAGGUAGCAGCUUUUUUUCCUCUGGCCUUUAAAAAAAAAACAAACUUCAGAAGGUAGCCUAACUUCCUCCAUCAUUUAUCUUGACAUCAGGAUAAUUUUCCUAACACCAGGGGUAAUGCAAUUCUGGAGUAGACUGUCAAGGGAUUUUAUAGAGUCUCUAUCACUAGAGCAUUUUAAGCUGUGCAAAUAUUGCUCAGGAAUAACAAAAGUACAGUUCUCCUGACUCAGGGCAGUGUGAUAGUCUAGAUGAUCUCAUGUUUACUUCAAGUCCUAUUUUGUUGGAUUUCUGUGAUAUAUAUACCUAUAAAUAGCUCCAGGAUUAUUACUGUUGAAAGAGAAAAGAACAAUCUUCACUCACUCUCUCUCUCUCUCUUAUUUUUUUUCCCUUUUCUUUUUCUAUCUGGUAAUUUAACUGUGCAAAAUAAAGAGUGUAAAACUGUUAUGAAUCAUCUGUUAGUGUUUGGGAUACACUUUUGGUGCAGUUCUUGCUUGUGCAGGACAUUUGCUGAUCUCAUUUGUAUAUGCACAGGACCACCAGGAAUUUGGAGACAUUUGGGGAAAUAGAGACACUGAAGAGGAAAAUCUUGCCUGCUUUUCUCAGUGUACCCCUUCAGUGGAAGCUUUAUGUGAAUAAGGUUCAACUUAGUAACCACACUGCACACACAAAUGAAAUUGAUACACUACUUUAAACAUUGCCUCCACUUGGAUUUUAAUAUUCAGAAAAACCUGAAAAUCUUACAAACCAGUCACUGACUCACAGAUUCAUAAUGUGAGUAAGGUUGGAAAGGAUCACUUGAGGUUAUCUACAACAAUCUCCCCGUUUAAACAGGGUACCCUAGAGAAUGCUGCUCAAGAUUGUGUCCAGAUGUCCCAUGAUUAUCUGCUGGAAGGGAAACUCCACAAUCUCUCUGGGCAGCCUGUUCCAGUACUUUGUCACCUGCACAGUAAAGAAGUUCUUGCCUGUCUUCAUGUGGAACUUCCUUUGCUUCAGGAUUCCUGUGUUUCACUUCCCUCUGAAUUGUUUCAGCAAGGAGCGCACAACAAUUGACAAGGCUCCCUUCUAUUUGAAAAUGACCUCACAGAACUGACAAUAUUUUGUCUCAAGUUCAUUAGUUUCAGUAAAUUAAUUCCUGUCCCU